rnacentral:lncRNA from 1 species
GUGCCCAAUAACAUGGUGGUUAGCCCUUGGAUCUUAGGUAAAUGCAUCAAAUGCAUAAACCUUAAGUCCUGGCAAUCUACAUCCUUAUGUAGCUUUCCAAGGCUCCGUGCAUCACAUACACUGGAUUUCAAUUCCAUCGAAAAUUAAAUUAUAGGAUCUAAUCUAAACUUGUCACACAAGUCUAAAGACUAUGAAAUUUCAUAUCCAAGAUUUAAACAUGAAAUGAUAACACUUUAUCAUAAACAAAAAUGCAUCAAGAACAUCAAUUAAACAUCAAUCAGAAAAUCUGAUUUUGACAUAGUUUGAACUGGAUCUAAUCCAUAUCACAAAAAUAACAUGAAAUUUGAUUGAAUCAAUCAAGAGUGGUUUUGGUAUCACUGUUGGGUUUUGGUGACGCAGUGGAAUAUGAAUUUCAAAAAUUUUAACAUGCAUUCAACAAUUGAAAACAAAGUUUAACAUUUAAACUAGUCUACCGGAACACAAAAGCCCUAGGAACUCCUUAAUCAUUACAAUCAAAUGAUCAAAAGCAUACAUAUCAAGAAGAGAUCAGAAGUCAUAUACCAAAGAGAAGACCACGAUCUGAUAAUUUUGAGACCUCCACGAGACUCCAAAGUAGAAGCCCUCCAACGGUGAUCCACAUAGGAUUGUUUAGGGUCCUUCCCAACUCGAUAUGGUGUUGCAGCCUUCUUCGCAAGCUCGCUGACGACCAUCUUUUGUAAGAACUGAUUGCACCAAUGCUUAUAUAUCUUCGUGAACUCCACUAGGAUCUCUUUAGGAACCCUUCCUCAAAAGAUCUCACCACACACAAAUUAGAUUUUAUGUUCAACACAUAAACAAUCUGAUUUUUGGACAAGCAUCUUAUGCUUUCCAUUUUUACUCUUCGCUUCCUUUCUAUUUUUUUUCUUUUUUUUCUUAUCUUUUUCUCAGAUUUUUUCCAUUAUUUUCCUCUCAUUUCCACACCCAACUAUAGCCCAAAUUGGCAUGUAGAAAUCAGGUGUAGCACCCCCUUUAAAUAGAAAAGGAUGGGCGACACCAUGGGACGCCAACUCUUGGCGUCCCUUAUCCAUUACACGCACCAAUUCAUUUUUUGCAUGAAAAUCAAGGGGUCAUGGCAUGGAAUAAGAAGAGUUUCGUUUGCAGAAGGACUCUUCCUCUGCAUAAAAAAUCUAAACGCCAUCAUAUGGCGUGUAAUAAUUAAGAG